rnacentral:rRNA from 1 species
GAUGAACGCUGGCGGCGUGCCUAAUACAUGCAAGUCGAGCGAACGGACGAGAAGCUUGCUUUUCUGAUGUUAGCGGCGGACGGGUGAGUAACACGUGGAUAACCUACCUAUAAGACUGGGAUAACUUCGGGAAACCGGAGCUAAUACCGGAUAAUAUUUUGAACCGCAUGGUUCAAAAGUGAAAGACGGUCUUGCUGUCACUUAUAGAUGGAUCCGCGCUGCAUUAGCUAGUUGGUAAGGUAACGGCUUACCAAGGCAACGAUGCAUAGCCGACCGGAGAGGGGGAUAGGCCACACGGGAACUGAGACACGGUCCAGACUCCUACGGGAGGCAGCAGUAGGGAAUCUGACGCAAUGGGCGAAAGCCUGACGGAGCAACGCCGCGUGAGUGAUGAAGGUCUUCGGAUCGUAAAACUCUGUUAUUAGGGAAGAACAUAUGUGUAAGUAACUGUGCACAUCUUGACGGUACCUAAUCAGAAAGCCACGGCUAACUACGUG